rnacentral:lncRNA from 1 species
GGACGGCUGCAAGGCCCCGGCGUCUCAUUCCCUCCUUCUGUUUCCUUUGGAGCAUGAGUCCCCUACCUUUUCAGCCCCCAACAAGCCCCGCGUCCCCCCCUCUACGUCACAAGGCCAGGCCCCCUUCUGAGGACAGUGCCCCGAAGAGUUGAUUCCCCCGGCACCUCCCGCUCCCUCUCAAAGCACCGCCUGUUCUGCGGGUCUGCCCCCAGGCGGGCAUAAACACCCCCAGCGAGGAAUGGCCCCAGGCAGCACUGGAGCCCUCCGCUCCCUCCACCACCGGGUCUGUCCCAGCUAGAGGGAGGGGAGAGGGAGAGGGGGCUUCCCUCUGGCUCAGAAUCGUCCACCCUGAGUAAUUAGCUGCCAAAUAAAACGCAAACUCGCCAAAGGAGAUCAGAGGUCCCCCCACAGCUUCUCCAAACUCCUCCUGCCCCAGAGGCUGCUGGGAGGGCCAGAAACCCCAGGAGGCCAGAAAGCCACCUGCUGGGGCACAGGGUCUCUUUUCAGAUCGGAAGCUAAAACCCUCCUUUCAAGCCCUCCCCUGUCAGGCCUGCCGAGCCAGCCCACACCUUCUCUCUCAGGGCUGGCACUCUGGCCCCUCGCCCACCCGCUCCUCAGCCUAGGAAUGGAAAAUGGGUUUGGCAGACACCACUGGUCGCCUGCCGGUGUCCCUUUUCCUCUUGUCUGAUACUGUUCAGGCUGACUCUUGGUGGCCCCAUGGCCCAUGCCCCUGAUUUGUUUAGGGGGAGUGGGAAGUGCGGUCCAGCACAGCCAAGGACACAGGAAGGGAGGCAAUUGACCCAGUUGGGUUCAGUUCACAAGUUCCCACCUGCCUCCUGUGGGUUGUGGUUCCAAGGAAAAGCUGGAACGAGACGGCCUAUGGAAUAGCAAGAUUGAUUGUGUCGUUCUGGCCUUUGAGGGAAGAAGGGGGAAAAAAUCAAAUUAUUGGACAGGGUCCUUUUAAGGAGCUGCUGCUUUAAUUUGUUUUCUUAUAUUUUGUCAAUAGCUGUUGUUUUUUAUUAAACAAGUGCUGUGCUUUACAAA